AUUAUUUUUGUGUUGUUGUUAUGACAUGCAUGACGUCGAAUAACAGAGCUAUCUUUUAGAAUUGAAGGGGUUUUGAGUUUAAUCAUAAAGUUAUGAUUAGAGGGUUCAAAAGUCACCACCUAGUAUUAUGGUCAUUAUAAAACCUAUUGGUAUGCGAGAGUCAGGGUAAAGGG